CUAACGCAUCUCUUACCUUCAAUAACUUCCAAGGGCCUUAUCCUCUCUUCAUUUCCCAAUUCAAAUUUCCGGGAGCAGGACUUGGAUUAUCCCAGCUCUUGCCUAUUUAGACAACCUCAGAGAUUCUAUUUCCACUGUAUGUGGAGGGGACUGAGUAUUGGUACUUUUGAAAAGUUUCUUGGAUGGUUCAAGUGUGCAGCCAGAGUCAAGAACCCCUGGAUUAGUAGAGCUUUCCAGGCCAGCUGACCCCACAGUCGGCCCUUGGGUCAAGUUCAAGCUCAAUCCAGUCAGCUAAGAGCAGAGCCACAGGGUCUCACUAUGCCCAAAGUCCCUUCCAUUGGCAGAAUCUGUGGCUACAGAAGGAGUGAGAGGAGGCCAGGCACAGUGGCUCAUGCCUGUAAUCCUAGCAUCUUGGGAGGCCAAGGCAGGUGGAUCACCUGAGGUCAGGAGUUCGAGACUAGCCUGGCCAACAAGGCAAAACCCCAUCUCGACUAAAAAUACAAAAAUUAGCCAGAUGUGGUGGCAGACGCCUGUAAUCCCAGCUACUCAGGAGGCUGAGGCAGUAGAAUUG
rnacentral:lncRNA from 10 species